rnacentral:rRNA from 1 species
AUGUCAGAAGGAAUGACGAUGUUGGGACGAGCUGGUGUAGAUGGAGAUUCGCCGCACCCUGGGCAUCGAGAGACCCCUAUCGACCAUGGUCCGCAAACUUCGAUGGAAGAGUUGUCGAAGGUGAUAACAGAAGCCAAUGGCAUGCCGGUGUUGUUCGUCCCCUCUAGCAAUGGGCGGCUGGUAGCAGUACCCCUAGACACCCUUCAGAAUCUGAUGCCCACCAAUCGCGGCGAGGGCAGCGAGUCUGACAAAGAAAAGAAGGAGCAGGCUUUCCGUUCUUGGAUGCUGCUUCUGGCUUCCCUGGUUGCCACCGUCACCUUCACUGCAGGGCUCACCCCACCCGGUGGUUUCUGGUCCACCGACGACAAGGACAACAAGUUCAUUACUGGUGAGCCAAUCAUGCGUGACAAAUCUCGCUCGAGGUAUGCAAUUUUCCAGACCGGCAACAUAAUGGCCUUCUACACGUCCUUGAUGAUCAUUGGGUUGCUCGCCAAGAAUAGGAAUGACAAGACGGUCAUAAGUUUAGGUUUCAUUUUGCUUGUAGCACUUUGUUUUGUGUGCUUGGUCUUUAGCUUUAUCAGCGGCUCAUGGCAGGGCCCCAUACAAGGGGCGGUGAACGUCGUUCUUGUACUUGUACUUUACGUUUUCUACAUGACGUUGGUACGGACUAUCUCCUGGUGUUCUAGUACAUUCUCAAGGCAUCAAGGAUCCCCGGAUUCGGUUCCUUAA